AGGAUCAUUAAAGAAAUUUAAUAAUUUUGAAAAUGGAUUUUUUUGUUUUGGCAAGAGCAUGAGAGCUUUUACUGGGCAAGAAGACAAGAGAUGGAGAGUCCAGCCGGGCCUGCGCUUAAGUGCGCGGUCUUGCUAGGCUUGUAAGUUUCUUUCUUGCUAUUCCAAACGGUGAGAGAUUUCUGUGCUUUUGUUAUAGGACAAUUAAAACCGUUUCAAUACAACACACUGUGGAGUUUUCAUAUCUUUGCAACUUUUUCUUUGGGCAUUCGAGCAAUCGGGGCCCAGAGGGUAACAAACACAAACAAUUUUAUUUAUUCAUUAAAUUUUUGUCAAAAACAAGAAUUUUCGUAACUGGAAAUUUUAAAAUAUUAAAAACUUUCAA
rnacentral:misc_RNA from 1 species